AAAACCCUUCUAUGUUGGUGAUUGCUGUAUGUUUUGAUCCAACAGUUUAGUUUCGGGAGGUCCCCGUCGUACGGAAGAGUGGCGGCCGCUGGGCAAGACCCAUGGCGGAACCACAGAGGCCAGAGCAGACCACCCACCUGCGCGAGCAGGUUCAAAACGUUGGUAACACGGCGGUGCGGGGUUUUA
rnacentral:other from 1 species